CAGCAUGUAAGGACAUGGCAAGUUGGCUAUCUUCAAGCCAGGAAGAAAGUGGUCACCAGAACCUAUACAUGCUAGCACUUUGAUUUCUGACUUCCGUCCUUCAGAAUUGUAAGAAAAUAAUUUCUGUGGUUUAAGCCACCCAGUCUAUAGCCUUUUGUUAUGGGAGUCUGAGCUGAUAUAGCAACAUUUUUUGAAACUGUCUUGUAUAUGUAAUAGCCAAGAUGAAGUCAUUAGGGUAGGACCAAUUUAAUAUAACUGGUGUCUUAUAAAAAUCGGAAACUUGGACACAGAGACAGAUUUACAGAGAGGGAAGAUGAUGUGAAGAGGCACAGGGAGAAGACGACCAUCUACUAGACACGGAGCAAGGCCUGAACAGAUCCUCCCCUCACAGACCCAGAAGGACGAAUCGUGCCAACAUCUUGAUUUCCAACUUCUAGCCUCCAGAACUGUG
rnacentral:lncRNA from 1 species